rnacentral:rRNA from 1 species
GACGAACGCUGGCGGCGUGCUUAACACAUGCAAGUCGAACGGAAAGGCCCUGCUUUUGUGGGGUGCUCGAGUGGCGAACGGGUGAGUAACACGUGAGUAACCUGCCCUUGACUUUGGGAUAACUUCAGGAAACUGGGGCUAAUACCGGAUAGGAGCUCCUGCUGCAUGGUGGGGGUUGGAAAGUUUCGGCGGUUGGGGAUGGACUCGCGGCUUAUCAGCUUGUUGGUGGGGUAGUGGCUUACCAAGGCUUUGACGGGUAGCCGGCCUGAGAGGGUGACCGGCGACAUUGGGACUGAGAGACGGCGCAGACUCCUACGGGAGGCAGCAGUGGGGAAUAUUGCACAAUGGGCGGAAGCCUGAUGCAGCAACGCCGCGGGCGGGAUGACGGCCUUCGGGUUGUAAACCGCUUUCGCCUGUGACGAAGCGUGAGUGACGGUAAUGGGUAAAGAAGCACCGGCUAACUACGUG